rnacentral:rRNA from 1 species
UACAGAGGUCCCAAGCGUUAUUCGGAAUUAUUGGGCGUAAAGGGCGCGUAGGCGGCUUUGCAAGUGACGGGUGAAAUCCCUCGGCUUAACCGAGGAACUGCCUGUCAGACUGCAUGGCUUGAGACCAGGAGAGGUGAGUGGAAUUCCCAGUGUAGCGGUGAAAUGCGUAGAUAUUGGGAGGAACACCAGUGGCGAAGGCGGCUCACUGGACCGGAACUGACGCUGAGGCGCGAAAGCGUGGGGAGCAAACAGG